rnacentral:tRNA from 1 species
GUCAGGAUAGCUCAGUUGGUAGAGCAGAGGACUGAAUCC